UACGUAGGGGGCAAGCGUUGUCCGGAUUCAUUGGGCGUAAAGAGCGUGUAGGCGGCCAGGUAGGUCGGUUGUGAAAACUGGAGGCUCAACCUUCAGACGUCGACCGAAACCAUCUGGCUAGAGUCCGGGAGAGGAGAGUGGAAUUCCUGGUGUAGCGGUGAAAUGCGCAGAUAUCAGGAAGAACACCCGUGGCGAAAGCGGCUCUCUGGAACGGUACUGACGCUGAGACGCGAAAGCGUGGGGAGCAAACAGG
rnacentral:rRNA from 1 species